rnacentral:rRNA from 1 species
CACGUAGGUGGCGAGCGUUAUUCGGAUUCACUGGGCGUAAAGGGUCCGCAGGGGGCCUGGCAAGUCUGUCGUGAAAUUCCAGGGCUCAACCCUGGGCGUGCGUUGGAAACUGCCGGGCUUGAGUUUAUGAUGGGCAGACGGAACACCUGGUGUAGCGGUGGAAUGCGUGGAUAUCAGGUGGAACUCCGAUGGCGAAGGCGGUCUGCUGGCAUAAUACUGACCCUCAGGGACGAAAGCGUGGGUAGCAAACAGGAUUAGAUACCCUGGUAGUCCACGCCGUAAACGUUGAGAACUAGAUGUGGGCGGGCUGGCCCCGUUCGUGUCCAAGCAAACGCGAUAAGUUCUCCGCCUGGGGACUACGGCCGCAAGGCUAAA